UACAGAGGUGGCAAGCGUUGUUCGGAAUUACUGGGCGUAAAGGGCGCGUAGGCGGUCUUGCAAGUCCUGUGUGAAAUCCCUCGGCUCAACUGAGGAACUGCACAGGAAACUGCUUGGCUUGAGUUCGGGAGAGGGAAGCGGAAUUCCGGGUGUAGCGGUGAAAUGCGUAGAUAUCCGGAGGAACACCGGUGGCGAAGGCGGCUUCCUGGACCGACACUGACGCUGAGGCGCGAAAGCCAGGGGAGCAAACGGG
rnacentral:rRNA from 1 species